rnacentral:sRNA from 1 species
AUGUACCCCCCGUACACUCCGGCUCCUCCGCGGCGGCCGCACCGUCCGAUCCGACCUGACGACUGCUCGAUACGUUUUGUUGGCC